rnacentral:rRNA from 1 species
AAAUGAAUUGACGGGGGCCCGCACAAGCGGAGGAACAUGUGGUUUAAUUCGAUGAUACGCGAGGAACCUUACCCGGGCUUAAAUUGCAGAGGACAGUCCCAGAGACGGGAUCUUCUUCGGACCUCUGUGAAGGUGCUGCAUGGUUGUCGUCAGCUCGUGCCGUGAGGUGUCGGCUUAAGUGCCAUAACGAGCGCAACCCUUGCUUCCAGUUGCCAUCAGGUCAUGCUGGGGACUCUGGAAGGACUGCCAUCGUAAGAUGUGAGGAAGGUGGGGAUGACGUCAAAUCAGCACGGCCCUUACGUCCGGGGCUACACACGUGUUACAAUGGGGGGUACAGCAGGCUGCUACCGGGCGACCGGAUGCCAAUCCCAAAAACCCCUCUCAGUUCGGACUGGAGUCUGCAACCCGACUCCACGAAGCUGGAUUCGCUAGUAAUCGCGCAUCAGCCACGGCGCGGUGAAUACGUUCCCGGGCCUUGUACACACCGCCCGU